GAACGAUUCAAAAUUUUCCUUCUUUUUCUUGCAUUUAUCUUACUUUAUUUUUCCUUGUAAGUUCCAUGCAUUUGCUUUCUCUCCUCUUCUGCUUCAUAUCUUUUUCAUUCUUUCUCUGUUUAGCGAGAUUUGGCCUGGUGGGUUACUUCUUUUUUUUGUUUCAUUCUUUGGUUGCUUUGUUUCUCUUUAUAUGUAUUUGGCGUUUCAUUGGUGAUUUUAUAUAUGAGUUUUCAGAUUUCGGUCUUUGGAGAUUUCAUAGAAGACUCCUUCAUUGGUUGUAUCCAAGUCCAUCCCUGCAUUAGAACAUUUCAAAAGCUACGAUCCAAGACUGGAAGAAUUAUCCAAGUACUGGUGGGGAUUUGCUACUUGUGGUUAGAAACCAAUCAUUAUAGAUUCAAAGAUGCAGCAGGAUGCUAGGCAACUGGAGGAGGAGCUGAUGAAUAUGAAAGAAAGAUUGGCUGCAGCAGAACGAGACAGAGUGAGAUUCCGUGAUGAGCUGAAAGAGAUGAAAAAUGCAGCUUAUGAGGCCAAUGGGAAGCUAACUGAAGCAAUGUCCAAUAGGAAGGUUGCUGAUGUAUUUUCAGAGCUAAAUUCGGCAAUGGAAUCGUUAUCAAAAUCCAAUGAAGAAUUAAAAAUCAAAGAUAAAGCCAUUGCUUCUUUGAAAGCUGAACUUGACAAGGCAAAGGAAUUGGAAGCUAAAAUGGCAGAGAAAGAUGCCUUAUUGCAGAAAUUGAAAGACGAGAUGGAUAAAGUUCAAUCCUCUGAGGCUCAUGCAUUGGAUUUGUUGUCCAAAAGCAAAGACAGAAUUCAGGAACUGGAAACAGAAUUAAAGAAAGGCAGGGACUCAGAGACGAAAAUGUUAGAUUCCUUGGCUGCACAAACAAAGCGUUUUGAGCUAACCAAGAUGAUGCUUGAAGAGUCGAAGCUUGAGGUCACUUCCCUCCAUGAUGAAGUAGAAAAAAUGGCUUCACCAAAAAACGAUGAUGAUAAAUCUUCAUUCCAAAAAGAAUUAGAGAGUCUCAAGUCUGAACUUGGGCUUGCGAAAGAAAACCUAGCUCGAGCCCAGGAAGGUGAGAAACUUUCAGCAGCGAAAGCUGAAGGUUUGCUUAGGGAGAUGGAAUUGCUUAAAAACGAACUGAAGCAAGCAACUGAAGCAGAGGGGAACAACAAGAAGGCAAUGGAUGACUUAGCAAUAGCACUGAAGGAAGUUGCAACAGAAGCCAACCAAAACAAGGAGAAGCUAAUCAAAACUGAAGAUGAGCUUGAGAGUUUGAAAAAGGAGUCGGAAGAAUUGAAACAGAAGUUCAAGAGCACCGAGGAGAAGCAUAAAAUUGUAUUGGAUGAAGCAAGGAAAGAGGCUGAUCUGUAUAGAAACACAGCUGAUAGGUUGAGAUUAGAGGCGGAGGAGUCACUUCUAGCAUGGAAUGGGAAAGAGACUGGCUUUGUUGAUUGUAUCAAACAAGCUGAGGAUGAAAAGACUCUGGCACUAGAAGAGAACAGUAAACUCCUAGAAGCACUUACAGCAGCUGAGAACUUGAACAAAACAGCUAAAGAAGAGAAUCAGAAGCUGCGCGAUAUACUUAAACAGGCCUUAAAUGAAGCUAAUGUUGCGAAAGAAGCUGCAGGAAUUGCUCAAUCAGAAAAUUCCCAACUCAAGGAUUUGCUGGCUGAAAAGGAUGAUGCUUUGAUCUUCAUUACUCGAGAGAACGAAAACCUAAGGAUAAAUGAAGUUUCAGCUAAUGAGAAUAUCAAAGAGUUGAAGAGACUGCUGGCUGAAGCUUCAGGAAAAGAAUUUAAGCCUGAAGAUAAGGAACAAGAACAAAAGCUGAAGUCACAGAAUUCGAUGGAGAAGGAGGUGGCCCAUAAAGAAAGGAAACUGAGCAAUGCCUUUAGCAUUAAUCUGAAGGAUCUAAUAAUUCACCCUAAACACAAGGAUAUACAUGAGGAUCAGAAAAUUUCUGAGAAGAACAAUGAACAUGACGAGGAGAACGAGGACUCUGAGAAUGCUGACCCUCUUAAGGGAUCAAUAUUUGAUGUAGAUUCACCUGUAGCAACAGCAGCAGCAGCUAAUGAUAAACACCACAACCAUCACCACCAUCACCAUCAUCGGAGAAAGUCCUCUACAUUUGCGGAUGAAGAAGCAAUAAAUGCUGAAGAUUUAGAACAUCUAGAUGGGACUCAUAUUGAUGAUGUGGAGAUUGAAAGAAACUCCAGGAAGAAGAAAGCAUUGUUAAGAAGAUUUGGAGAUAUUAUAACAAGAAGAAAAGGUGUUCACAGAAGGGAAUCAUCACUGGGUGGUGAAAGUCACAAGAAAGAACCCUCAUCAGCUGGUGGUGAAGCUCACAAGAAGGAUCCCACAUCUUCUGGUUCUGAAGGCCACAAAAAGGAGCCUUCACCGCUCGGUGUCAGUAGUGAAUCUCUCAGAAGGGAAGCAUCACUUGGUGAAUAAACAUAUUUUCUAUAUAAUUUCCUACAGCUUGUAGCUCUGAUUCAUUUGCAUUUGAUUAAUUUUCUUUUCUUUUUUUU
rnacentral:misc_RNA from 1 species